AAGCACCAAGCACUCAGCAUUUAAGACUCUUCUCCCCUCUUCUCUUUUCCCUUCAACAUACACCCUUACACAGACAAUGGCCACAGUAGCAUUCUCUGCGAUUUCCCUUCUACUUUUUGUGCUCAAUCUUUGUUUUAGAGGCACAUUUGCGGACUAUGGAGGGUGGCAAGGUGGUCAUGCCACUUUCUACGGUGGGGGUGAUGCUUCUGGGACAAUGGGAGGUGCUUGUGGGUAUGGCAAUUUGUAUAGCCAAGGGUACGGUACUAACACUGCAGCGCUUAGUACUGCCCUAUUCAACAGUGGAUUGAGCUGUGGAGCUUGCUAUGAAAUGAGAUGUGACAACGAUCCCAGAUGGUGCCUCCCUGGAACCAUCACAGUCACUGCUACCAACUUCUGCCCUCCAAACAACGCCCUGUCAAAUGACAAUGGUGGCUGGUGCAAUCCUCCUCUCCAACAUUUUGACUUGGCUGAGCCUGCUUUCUUGCAAAUUGCUCAAUACAGAGCUGGAAUUGUACCCAUUUCUUUCAGAAGGGUCCCCUGUGUGAAGAAAGGAGGAAUAAGGUUCACCAUCAAUGGACACUCAUACUUCAACUUGGUAUUGGUCACAAAUGUUGGUGGAGCGGGAGAUGUACAUACAGUAUCAAUCAAGGGGUCUAAGACAGGGUGGCAAACCAUGUCAAGAAACUGGGGCCAAAACUGGCAGAGUAACUCUUACCUGAAUGGACAAAGUCUCUCUUUUCUAGUUACCACUAGUGAUGGCCGUAGUGUGCUCUCUUACAAUGUUGCCCCUGCUGGCUGGUCCUUCGGCCAGACAUACAUUGGAAGGCAGUUUCGGUAUUAAUUAUAAUUAGCAGAUCCCUUCAAUCUAUUCUAAGAUGCAUUAUUUCAGCUACAAUAUGGAUUGAAUAACUACUAAUGUACCUUUGGUAAAUAGAUAUGUACACUUUAGAAGACAUCUUGGGGGGUCAAGAUUUCUCAUGAUUUGGCCCUUUUCGAUUUCUUCCCAUAUAUUUUUACCGUCAUAUUGAGUUUUUAUAGUUCAUGAAUUGGCACUUGGCACUGAAUUCAAGCCUCAAGGCUUUUUGUUAUUACUGCUAGAAUGGAAGAGAUCAUUAUUUGUAAAUAAAGUCAGUUUCAUUGCUGUUAUUAUAUCAAAUGCACAAGCUCUAAUGCAUCAAGG
rnacentral:misc_RNA from 1 species